rnacentral:rRNA from 1 species
AUGAAGGCCUCGGUUGUAACCUCUUUCAGCAGGAAGAAGCGAGAGUGACGGUACCUGCAGAAGAAGCACCGGCUAACUACGUG